ACCAUUUCACUUUGGUCAGUCCGGUUCAUCCAUUUUCUGGUCAGUUUUUUUUUUCAACUCGAAAUGGUUCCUAAGGUUUUUGACCCUUCUAAAUCCUUUUUUGAGGUAUGUUUUGUCAAAAUUAGACUUCCUGUCUCCGGUUUGGAUAAGAUCUUAUUAUUUCUGCAUAUUUUCUUUGAUUUAUUACAAUUGCUGCAACUGAGGGUUCUUCUUCUGAGGAUAUUUAUCCUCGUUACUCUUUAAAAGAGAUACAAGGUCUGCUUCAACAACUUCAGCC
rnacentral:lncRNA from 1 species